AUUCUUUGUUCUCUAUCUCUUUGUUUCUUUGGUUUUAGUUCAUGCUAUUGCAACUCUUUCCAUUUAUGUGGUUAGCCCUUCUUUUCCUCGAAUCUUGAGGAACUAAACAACUCAGCAUUUUGGAUUGUCGUUGAUUAUUGUUUUUGGAGCUUAUUCAUGUGAAGCUUGAACCGUUAGGAGUAGGCUAUCCGUGUCUUUUGCUUAAUAGCUUUGUGGGUAGCUGUAAUUCACUUUUAACUUGCGUUGUUUUUGGAUUUUGCAGUGUACUCAAUGGUCAGGGUGAGCAAACAAGAAUAGGACGAUGACGUAGAAUUUUCUCCACUAGAGGUUAAUGGAGACUUGCACUUCUUAAAGGUUCUUCAAUUUAUAUCCGUGCAAUGUAGCUUCUCCCCCGAUAAGGCGAACCAAAGUGGUUCACCAGCUUUCAUUGGCAGAAUCACUAAGUCUUAUGCCCUAAACCUAAAAACAAAACCAGUUUCUGCUUUAAAGAGAAGAACAAAGUUCACGGCAAAGCUCAUUUGAUCUCGUGUCCUCGAGCAGUCUUAUUUAGUCCUGGUAUCUUGUUCAUAAUUGAUUCUUGAGUUCAUUCAUAUUUUUCUUGCCUAAUUUUAACCAUGGUUAAGUUUAUGGUAUGAUGUGGCAAAUAUAAUAUUUAAAAAUCAUAAAGAAAUGCCACAUUGGACAAUAUCAGUAAUUGAUUUUAAAAAUUGGAUACAAUUGUGCUCAAUGUCAAAUGUUAGGAUACUAAAACUAAAAUUGAAACGUUAGGAUAAAAUUAUAUAUUGAAAAAAAAUUUUUGUCCAAUUGGCCUUUGAUUAAAAUCUAAAUUCAUAUAUUUUUUUAAGUUUCCCAAAUAAAAUAUUAGGUUCAAAUUCACAACUUUAAGAUCAAAUAUUAAAAUCCCUUACAUUUGUUAAAAUCCACUCUUGCAUUUUGAGAAAACAAAAAAAGCUUGUCAAGUUUGGUCCAAUUGUCAAUUCGGCCUUCCAUGUUCAAGUUUGAACUAAUUGAUCUCUUACACUCUUAAAUUUAGUGCAAAUAAGUACAAAAUUGAAGGUGUCGAAAGUGAGGAAAACAAACAUUUAUUGUGCACUAAGAAACAACUCCAAAAAAAACAAAAAAGAAGAAGAAGAAUUCGUUGUCGUCGUUGGUUGCAUUUUGGGUGAUGAGGAGCCAUAUUGAAUAUGAUUAUGAAAGGGGGCAAAGCAAUGCUUGUCACAUGUGAGUAUCAAGGUAGACAUCAUUGAAAGACGAAGUUUGGUCAAAAGUUAUAUGGAAUGUGUUUGGUCUUUGGCUCAUAAGACCUAAACCGCAACUGAAGAGAAAAACAUAAAAGAGGAGAGGUGAGAAUAAAGAAGAGAGAGUAGAAGUUUCAAGGUAGAAGAGAGAAGUAGAGAGACAGAGAAAGUAAAAUAGGGAGAAAAAGUGAGUAUUUUAUUUAAUUAAUAUGUCGAAUCAAUGCAUGAAUUUAAGUAUUUAUAAUUGUCAACUAUAACAUUUCUGCAUUUAUUUAUUUAUAAUAUUGCCACUCCUAAUUCUCAUCUUUAUUCAUAGCAUUACCCUUCCCUUCAAGCUCAUUCUUGUCCGCGAGAAUGAAACGGGGAAGUUUCUGCAAAACAAAGUCCCUGUCCUCCCAUGUAGCAUCCUGGUGGGAAAGAGAAGCCCAUUUAAUCAACAACUACUGCACAGCCUUACCAUUCCUAACCAAAGUUUGGAAGUCCAACACAGUCUCAGGUGUGACAGUAAAUUAUCCCUAAGUAUGCAGAAUAGGCAAAGAGGAUUGGACAACUUGAUCAAUUCCCACUUUCUUCUUAAUUAAUGAAACACGAAAGAAAUUAUGGAUAAAAGCAUCUGUAGGUAGCUGCAAUUUAUAAACCACACUGCCUACUUUUGGUAGAAUCUGAUAAGGGCCAAAAAAACUUAGUAGAAAGCUUAAGAUUUUUGCUAAAACCCAUUUAGACUUGCCUAUAAGGUUGAAGCUUGAGAAACACCCUUCAAAACUCUUGUCACUUCUUUUAGAAUCUGCAUAUUGCUUCAUUUUAUUCUUAGUUGCAUCUAAAUUAUCUCUCAACAAGUCAAACAGCCUUUGCCUUUGAAGAAUCCAGUCCUUCACCUUAGCUAUAGAAACAACUAUCAAAUCAAAAACUAAAAAUUGAGGAGGAGCAUAUCCAUAAAAGGAUUGAAAGGGAGACAUUUGAUCGUUUUGUGAUAAGUGGAAUUAUAAUACUACUAUGCCAUACUCACCCAAGAACACUAUUUGUGAGACUAGUUAAAACACAUACACCUUAAGUAACUUUCUAAACAUCUAUUCAACCUCUCAGUCUACCCAUCUGAUUGAGGAUGAUAGGCAGUAAUUAUAUGCAACUUGACCCCUAAAGCAUUAAACAAAUACUUCCAAAACAAUCUCAAGAAAUUUUAUCUUCAUUAAUAACAAUACUAGAAGAUGGGCCAUGCAAUUUAAAGAUAUUAUCCAAAAAUAGUUUUGCCACUCUCUCAGUAGUAAAGGGGUGAGCUAGAUGUAGAAAAUAAGCGAAUUAGGUGAACAAUCCACCACCACUAACACAAAAUCCUUCCCCUCAUGCUUAGGUAAUUUUUCAAUGAAAUCCAUAGAAAUGGAAUACCAAGCCUAUGAUGGAAUAUCCAAAGAUUGUAAUAAACCAGGAUAUGGAACUGCUUCUAUUUUGCAUCUCUGACACACAUCACAAGUCAAAACCCAUUUUUACACUUGUUUAAACAUAUAAGGCCAGAAAAAGAUUGUUUUAAUUUGUGAUAUUCUAACCCUAGAAUGGUCACCUAUGACAAAUUCAUGAGCUAUGUCUAAUAAUCUGUGUUGUAAAUCUAAACAGUUACCAAUAUAGAGCCUACCCUUGUACCUUAAUAAACCCUAACCAACUAAUACUUAUCUUAAUGUGCCACAUCAUGGUGAUUGGAUUGACAUGGCAUAGAAGGGCCCAUUGACCAAGUCCAAGAGAAAACUUGUUACUUUGCUUGCUUCUAUCUAAGAAUAAAGAUGUUGUGGGCUAAACUUGUUGACUUGAAUAGGGCAUAUGAUUUGGGAUGAGUUAAGAAGUUUAUGGGCUGAAGAUUUGUGAGGAUUUUAUCUUAA